GCCUUGGUAGCUCAAUUGGUAGAGCAUAAGGCUCUUACAGUCCCUGUGACCGGUUAAGACUGUUGAGGGUGCGGGUUCGGGUCCCGCCUGAGGAU